UACGUAGGGUGCGAGCGUUGUCCGGAAUUAUUGGGCGUAAAGCGCGUGUAGGCGGCUUUGCAAGUCGGGUGUGAAAGCCCUCAGCUCAACUGAGGAAGUGCGCCCGAAACUGCAGAGCUUGAGUACCGGAGAGGAUGGCGGAAUUCCCCAAGUAGAGGUGAAAUUCGUAGAUAUGGGGAGGAACACCGGUGGCGAAGGCGGCCAUCUGGACGGAUACGGACGCUGAGACGCGAAAGCGUGGGGAGCAAACAGG
rnacentral:rRNA from 1 species